rnacentral:rRNA from 1 species
UGCCAGCCGCCGCGGUAAUACGGAGGGGGCUAGCGUUGUUCGGAAUUACUGGGCGUAAAGCGCGCGUAGGCGGCUUGGCCAGUUGGAGGUGAAAGCCCGGGGCUCAACCCCGGAACUGCCCCCAAAACUGCCAGGCUUGAGGCCGGGAGAGGAGAGUGGAAUUCCCAGUGUAGAGGUGAAAUUCGUAGAUAUUGGGAAGAACACCAGUGGCGAAGGCGGCUCUCUGGACCGGACCUGACGCUGAGGUGCGAAAGCGUGGGGAGCAAACAGGAUUAGAUA